UUCUCACGCCCUGUAAGUGUGUGUGUUUGUGUGUGUGUCUGGGUGUGUGUUUGUCUGUGUGAGUGUUUACAGUAAAGCAGGGUUGGAACAUGUGGCUACCAUUAUCACCAGUGUCCCCCGUGGUCAGUGCUAAGGACCUGGUCCGUGUGUGGUGUGUGGGCCAUGUACAAGCUGUGCUAGCCGUGUGGGAGACAUGUGCUACACGUGUGUUAACUAUGCUGGAGUCAUACUGUAUGCUCACUGUGUGCAGCGAUGGAAGAACAUGUCUGGGAAGGUACAAUGCCUGAAUUGACUUUAAAACCUCUCUAAGAAAUACAUCACCAAGGAAACACACAGAACCGAACUGAUUAGGUAAACACACAUGACCUCUUAAUGUCCCUCAGGAGGCGAUGAGAGGAGGGAGUGUCCACCUGUUUGACUGCCUGUCUUCUCUAGAGUUUCCUGUUGUUGGUAACCUACAGUCCAGUGACAGAAAAAGCAGGCCUAUGAUGGAUGGUUGUCUGAUUGUGACAUCUUAAAUCUGUUACCUCCAACUAGAUGUUUAUUUGAGUCUCUGCGCGCUGAUAUCACAUUUGGAGGGAAUUCUCUUAAACUGCGGCUACAGGAGAGUAAAUAUUAUGAGGAUAGCCACUGAAACAUGAAAUGUUAAUUACAACCGUGAAACAUGGGGGUCUGACCUGCAGGCAUGUGGACAAAACACAACUUUGCUCUCCAUCUUGUUCCCUUAAUUCACAGUUUGGUUUGAUGUACAGGAAA